GGCUCAGGAUGAACGCUAGCUACAGGCUUAACACAUGCAAGUCGAGGGGCAGCAUUGGAGUAGCAAUACUCAGAUGGCGACCGGCGCACGGGUGAGUAACACGUAUCCAACCUGCCGCUUACUCGGGGAUAGCCUUUCGAAAGAAAGAUUAAUACCCGAUGGUAUAAAGAGUUCGCAUGUUCUCUUUAUUAAAGAAUUCGGUAAGCGAUGGGGAUGCGUUCCAUUAGAUAGUUGGCGAGGUAACGGCCCACCAAGUCUACGAUGGAUAGGGGUUCUGAGAGGAAGGUCCCCCACAUUGGAACUGAGACACGGUCCAAACUCCUACGGGAGCAGCAGUGAGGAAUAUUGGUCAAUGGACGAGAGUCUGAACCAGCCAAAAGUAGCGUGAAGGAUGACUGCCCUAUGGGUUGUAAACUUCUUUUAUAAGGGAAUAAAGUGAGGGACGUGUCCCUUUUUGUAUGUACCUUAUGAAUAAGGAUCGGCUAACUCCGUGCCAGCCGCGGC
rnacentral:rRNA from 1 species